rnacentral:misc_RNA from 1 species
AAGUCGUAACAAGGUUUCCGUAGGUGAACCUGCGGAAGGAUCAUCAAUAAUCCAAAUGAUCGAUGACCUCAAAAAUCAUCGAUCCAACCUUCUUGUGAACUGUUUAAUGUUUUUUUGAUUGGGAGUAAAAUUGUGAUGUCUUUUUGACGGAUCAACUCCCAAUUGAACAUUUAUAUAAACUAUUUUAUUUUUAAAGUUGAUUAUUAUACAGGUAACUGUACUAAUAUAAAUACAACUUAUAGCGAUGGAUCUCUAGGCUCUG